CCUACGGGAGGCAGCAGUGGGGAAUAUUGCACAAUGGGGGAAACCCUGAUGCAGCGACGCCGCGUGAGUGAUGAAGUAUCUCGGUACGUAAAGCUCUAUCAGCAGGGAAGAAAAUGACGGUACCUGACUAAGAAGCCCCGGCUAACUACGUGCCAGCAGCCGCGGUAAUACGUAGGGGGCAAGCGUUAUCCGGAUUUACUGGGUGUAAAGGGAGCGUAGACGGCGGGACAAGUCAGGAGUGAAAUCCCGGGGCUUAACCCCGGGACUGCGUUUGAAACUGUGCGGCUGGAGUGCAGGAGGGGCAAGCGGAAUUCCUAGUGUAGCGGUGAAAUGCGUAGAUAUUAGGAGGAACACCAGUGGCGAAGGCGGCUUACUGGACUGUAACUGACGUUGAGGCUCGAAAGCGUGGGGAGCAAACAGGAUUAGAUACCCGUGUAGUC
rnacentral:rRNA from 1 species